GGUCAGUGAUGAGAAGUAAAAGGUCUGACUGCACUGAGAAAUCACAUUCCCUCUUGCGGCCUUCACAGCUCCCAGCAGCCCAUCAUUUCUUACCCAGGCACGAUUAAGACAUGCUGUCCUUGGGAUGGUGGAGCCGCUGACAGCUGGGGACGUGUUCAGUGUGCGCUCCCACAAGGAGGAGGGAAGGACAUGCUGGGCUGCUGUCCAACAGAACCUUUCCAGAGGAGCUUGGAGUGGAGUGCCACAGGAAUGUGGUGGUGCGUGAUCUCAAGUUUUCAAGCUGAGACC
rnacentral:snoRNA from 1 species